ACGCUGGCGGCGUGCCUAAUACAUGCAAGUCGAACGAACUCUGGUAUUGAUUGGUGCUUGCAUCAUGAUUUACAUUUGAGUGAGUGGCGAACUGGUGAGUAACACGUGGGAAACCUGCCCAGAAGCGGGGGAUAACACCUGGAAACAGAUGCUAAUACCGCAUAACAACUUGGACCGCAUGGUCCGAGUUUGAAAGAUGGCUUCGGCUAUCACUUUUGGAUGGUCCCGCGGCGUAUUAGCUAGAUGGUGGGGUAACGGCUCACCAUGGCAAUGAUACGUAGCCGACCUGAGAGGGUAAUCGGCCACAUUGGGACUGAGACACGGCCCAAACUCCUACGGGAGGCAGCAGUAGGGAAUCUUCCACAAUGGACGAAAGUCUGAUGGAGCAACGCCGCGUGAGUGAAGAAGGGUUUCGGCUCGUAAAACUCUGUUGUUGAAGAAGAACAUAUCUGAGAGUAACUGUUCAGGUAUUGACGGUAUUUAACCAGAAAGCCACGGCUAACUACGUGCCAGCAGCCGCGGUAAUACGUAGGUGGCAAGCGUUGUCCGGAUUUAUUGGGCGUAAAGCGAGCGCAGGCGGUUUUUUAAGUCUGAUGUGAAAGCCUUCGGCUCAACCGAAGAAGUGCAUCGGAAACUGGGAAACUUGAGUGCAGAAGAGGACAGUGGAACUCCAUGUGUAGCGGUGAAAUGCGUAGAUAUAUGGAAGAACACCAGUGGCGAAGGCGGCUGUCUGGUCUGUAACUGACGCUGAGGCUCGAAAGUAUGGGUAGCAAACAGGAUUAGAUACCCUGGUAGUCCAUACCGUAAACGAUGAAUGCUAAGUGUUGGAGGGUUUCCGCCCUUCAGUGCUGCAGCUAACGCAUUAAGCAUUCCGCCUGGGGAGUACGGCCGCAAGGCUGAAACUCAAAGGAAUUGACGGGGGCCCGCACAAGCGGUGGAGCAUGUGGUUUAAUUCGAAGCUACGCGAAGAACCUUACCAGGUCUUGACAUACUAUGCAAAUCUAAGAGAUUAGACGUUCCCUUCGGGGACAUGGAUACAGGUGGUGCAUGGUUGUCGUCAGCUCGUGUCGUGAGAUGUUGGGUUAAGUCCCGCAACGAGCGCAACCCUUAUUAUCAGUUGCCAGCAUUAAGUUGGGCACUCUGGUGAGACUGCCGGUGACAAACCGGAGGAAGGUGGGGAUGACGUCAAAUCAUCAUGCCCCUUAUGACCUGGGCUACACACGUGCUACAAUGGAUGGUACAACGAGUUGCGAACUCGCGAGAGUAAGCUAAUCUCUUAAAGCCAUUCUCAGUUCGGAUUGUAGGCUGCAACUCGCCUACAUGAAGUCGGAAUCGCUAGUAAUCGCGGAUCAGCAUGCCGCGGUGAAUACGUUCCCGGGCCUUGUACACACCGCCCGUCACACCAUGAGAGUUUGUAACACCCAAAGUCGGUGGGGUAACCUUUUAGGAACCAGCCGCCUAAGGUGGGACAGAUGAUUAGGG
rnacentral:rRNA from 2 species